rnacentral:rRNA from 1 species
UACGUAGGGUGCAAGCGUUGUCCGGAAUUAUUGGGCGUAAAGAGCUCGUAGGCGGUUUGUCGCGUCGGCUGUGAAAACCUGGGGCUCAACCCCGGGCCUGCAGCCGAUACGGGCAAACUAGAAUUCGGUAGGGGAGACUGGAAUUCCUGGUGUAGCGGUGAAAUGCGCAGAUAUCAGGAGGAACACCGAUGGCGAAGGCAGGUCUCUGGGCAUUAACUGACGCUGAGGAGCGAAAGCAUGGGGAGCGAACAGG